AUGCUGUCCUCAUGGAUUUUUCUCUUAUCUUUGGCUUGGGUUUAUGGAAACACCAAAAUGAGAAUCUCCCAAGAUCAGUCCUUUACCAGAAGACUAGACAAAACGGUGCAUAUAAGCUGCAAGCUGUCUGGGAUUCCUCUCGACAAUGCCAUUGUGCACUGGUAUGAGCAAAAAGAAGGAGAACCCCUGAGACGAAUUCUUUAUGGCUCAACCAAGAGUUUUAAGCAAGACAACCUCGAUCCCCGCCUGGAGACAGAUAAGAAAAGUAAUGGAGUAUUUUACCUGAUCAUCAAUAACGUCAUAGAGUCUGAUGGAGCCACCUACUACUGUGCCUGCUGGGAUCUCACAAUAUUUGGAGAAGGGACAAAGCUCAUAGUGAUUCCCCGGGAGAAAAACCUUGAUGGAGAUUUUUCUCCCAAGCCCACUGUUUUUCUUCCUUCGCCUGCUGAAAUAAACCUCCAUAAGACUGGAACCUAUCUCUGUCUUCUUGAGAAAUUUUUCCCUGAUGUAAUCAAGAUAGAUUGGAAAGAAGAGAACAGUGAUACGAUGCUGGACUCCCAGCAGGGAGAUAUCAUGAGGACUGGGGACACCUACAUGAAAUUCAGCUGGCUGACAGUGUCUGGGCAGGCGAUGAAUAAGAAACACAAAUGCAUCGUCAAACAUGAGUUUAACAGAAGAGGGGUUGAUCAGGAGAUUCUUUUUCCUUCUAUAAGAAAUGAGGUCACUGCUAUUGAGUCUACAAACACUUCCCUAAAAGGAGAAAGUGAUGAAGAACUGCAACUACUGUUCACGAUCAACUCUGCCUACUAUACCUACAUCUUCCUCCUCUUCAAGAGCACCCUCUAUUUUGCCAUCAUCACUUUCUGUCUUUUCAGGACAACAGCAACGUGUGGCAAUGGGAAGAAUUCACAAUGA